AAAAGAGAGUCCUGUUCUGGAGGAUGAUAUUGGACCUCUUGUACAGCACAUCUAUGAGCUUAGGAACACAGGACCCAGUACUUUCAGUAAGGCCAUUUUGGAUGUGCAGUGGCCCUACAGAUUCAACAACGGCUCUCUGCUCUACAUCACCAAGAUUGAAGUGGACGGAAACAUGAAUUGCAGCUCAAACAGGGAGCUCAACCCUCUUAAUGUCACUAAUCCCAGAUUUAUUGACAAAAAUGAGACCUCGGCCAGCGGAGGCAGAGCUGAGGGGAGGAACAGACACAGCGUCCACCGCAGAGACCUGGAGGACAAACAAGGGGAAGAGAACCUGGAGAAUCUGGUAUA